CUUUCUGUGUAUAGUGCUUCUUUUAGAAGUUCUUGUAAAGCAGGCCUGGUGGUAAUAAAAUCUCUGAGUACUUGCUUGUUCCUAAAAAAUUUUAUUUUUCCUUCAAAUGUAAAGCUUAAAUUGGCAGGAUAUGAAAUUCUGGGCUGAAAGUUCUGUUGAUUAAGUAUAUUGAAUAUUGGCCCCCACUCUCUUCUAGCUUUUAGGGUUUCCGUUGAGAGAUCUGCUGUAAGCCUAAUAGGCUUACCUUUAUGGGUAACUUGAUCUUUCUCUCUGGCUGCCCUUAAUAUUUUCUCCUUCAUUUCGAUCUUGGUGAAUCUAACGAUUAUGUGCCUUGGGGUUGGUCUUCUUGAGGAAUAUCUUUGUGGUGUUCUCUGUAUUGCCUGGGGUUGAAUAGUGCCCUGCUUUGCUAGAUUAGGAAAAUUUUCCUGGAUAAAUUUUCCUAAUCUAGUAAAGCAGGGCACUAUUCAACCCCAAGUUGUUUUUAUUAGGAGAAAUUCUCUAGUUCAAUGUCACAUUGGUCACUUACUGUAUCAUCUUCAUCCAGAGGAAUGAAGAAGUCAGCUGUGCGUCCAAGCAAAGCCGGCCAGUGAUGGAGAAGACUCUGCUGCCUUCAGAAAGAACACAUCAAUUUUCUCAACGGAGCAAGAGUUUCUGUUAUUAAUUAUAAUGCUGCCGUGUGUUGGGUUAAUGGAUGAGAGCACGGAGGGCCGGAAAGGUUCGUGGACUCGGCCACCAUCAGGGAUCAGGAGGUCCAGGAACCAGGGCUCGAAUCUCUAGCCUCACUCUCUUGCCGACAUGUUGUCUCUCGCGGUGGGGCAGGACAGGAGAGGAGAAACUGUUUAGUCAUCGCUGAGUGAGCAGCUACUCCGUGUUGGAAUAACGCUUCCUCAGUUCUGGCUGUCCCUGAGUAGUCAACAAAACAACCAACAGAGCCAGUGCCCAGUGAGUCAGAGUCUCCUGGUGGCCUGGGGGCAGGUCGGAAUUUCCCAGGUGGUGUCCAGGUGUGGCCAGGGUCAGAAGCUGGUCCAGCACUUUACGUCCAGCCCCUCCCCGCCGCCUGGAGCUUCAUUACCAGUCACUUUGACAUAUCGUCCACGCCAGCAACCUGAAACCCGUGCCUAUUUUGCUUACCUGCUCAUCAUUUACAGAGGAGAGACCUUGGCACCUAGGCUCCAGGGAAACUCCACAUUCACCUGUAACAGGGAAGGAGGGAGUUCCCGAGAAGCGUCACUGCCCCGUAGGUGAAUGGAGGAAGCUGCUUCUGGCUUUCUGUGGUGUUGAUGCUUCUCUAGGACACUGCUUCAUAACUGAACAGAAUGGAGCCAGGUAGGCCAGGCUGGAUGGGAGAAGCACCUCAGAGUGUGUAGCCAGAGGAUCCCGAGAUGUAACUGGAACUUCCCCGCCUCAGGCAGUUAAGAGCUUUCUGAU
rnacentral:lncRNA from 13 species